GCGGGCGUAGCUCAGCGGCAGAGCGGCACCUUUCCCAGAUGACGACGGUGGUUCGAAUCCAUCCGCCCGCUCCA
rnacentral:tRNA from 1 species